GACGUAGGGUGCGAGCGUUGUCCGGAUUUAUUGGGCGUAAAGAGCUCGUAGGCGGCUCGUCGCGUCAGCUGUGAAAACCCGCGGCUUAACCGUGGGCUUGCAGCUGAUACGGGCGGGCUAGAGUUCGGUAGGGGAGACUGGAAUUCCUGGUGUAGCGGUGAAAUGCGCAGAUAUCAGGAGGAACACCAAUGGCGAAGGCAGCUCGCUGGGACGGUACUGACGCUGAGACGCGAAAGCGUGGGGAGCAAACAGG
rnacentral:rRNA from 1 species